GGAUCGAUGAUGAGUCAAAAAAAAAAAAAACAUUCCUUGGAAAAGCUGAACAAAAUGAGUGAGAACUCAUACCGUCGCUGUCAUCGGAACUGAGGUCC
rfam:Callithrix jacchus chromosome 6, whole genome shotgun sequence